CCUACGGGAGGCAGCAGUGGGGAAUUUUGGACAAUGGGGGCAACCCUGAUCCAGCCAUGCCGCGUGAGUGAAGAAGGCCUUCGGGUUGUAAAGCUCUUUCAGACGGAAAGAAAUCGCACAGGUUAAUACCUUGUGUGGAUGACGGUACCGUAAGAAGAAGCACCGGCUAACUACGUGCCAGCAGCCGCGGUAAUACGUAGGGUGCGAGCGUUAAUCGGAAUUACUGGGCGUAAAGCGUGCGCAGGCGGUUAUGUAAGACAGAUGUGAAAUCCCCGGGCUCAACCUGGGAACUGCGUUUGUGACUGCAUAACUAGAGUACGGCAGAGGGAGGUGGAAUUCCGCGUGUAGCAGUGAAAUGCGUAGAGAUGCGGAGGAACACCGAUGGCGAAGGCAGCCUCCUGGGCCAGUACUGACGCUCAUGCACGAAAGCGUGGGGAGCAAACAGGAUUAGAUACCCCAGUAGUC
rnacentral:rRNA from 1 species